rnacentral:hammerhead_ribozyme from 1 species
AUCCAGCUGACGAGUUCCAAAUAGGACGAAAUGCGCAUCCUGGAA